rnacentral:tRNA from 1 species
GCCACCGUAACUCAGAUGGUAGAGUAGCUGAUUCGUAAUCAGCCUGUCGGAGGUUCGACUCCUCUCGGUGGCU